CCCUGUGGCAACAUACCAGCAACAGGAAAGAUGAAUUCACUGCCCGUUCACACUCACCUAAGCAUAGAUUAUAAAGGGAAACAAAACCAGUAGUUUGAUUUCUCUCCCUCCCAAGUGCAAAACCUGGAUUUGUGCCAGCGAACGCCUUUGUUAAUACAGUGCUGCACUACCAGAGUCCAUCUGGAGUUACUGUUCUGCUUGAUGUCACAUGGCAGAUCCUACCUGCAUUGAAGAUGAAAGGACUUUCAAGAAGCUCUCUCUGCUAAAUGAAACAGCAAAAUUACAGUCAAAGACAAAAUAUUUUAGAAUUAAAAAACCCUGAAAACUUUUCAGACACUACAUGUGAUAUUUCAUCAUCACAGAAUCAUUGAAAACCAGGUUGGAAGAGACCUCAAGGAUCAACUGGUCCAAUCUUUCGUGGCAAAAGCAUAGUCAAGACAAAAUGGCCCUGCACCUUGUUCAGCUGGAUCUUAAAAUUGUUCAGUGUUGGGAAAGGUGUCAAACGCUCGGGAAGAAUCUAUAUUUGAGUCAUAGAGAACAUUCAUACAGGACACAAUAGGUGUGGUAUGUAGAGUUGUCUUGAUAACAGAUGAGAAAGAUCACAUAAUACAGUGCUGCUGCAGCUGGAGUCCCACCACCUGCUACACGUCAGCUGAUAAAUUCUGUCUUAGCUUCAUAUGAGCUUGAACAGACUGUUUCCAUUUCCAAAUCUACUAUCACUCACAACUAAUUUGGUGUUUCCACUCCUUCACUGGUGCAGCACAGACACAGCCGUAGUUAGUCUGACGUAGGUCUCCAUCCUGUAAAGUCUUAGGUAUGUAUUUACCUAGAUAUAAAGGUAUGCAAUGUUUUAUCUCUUCUAAUUUUGUUAUGGUAAUGGCCAUGUUUUUGAAAGCUCUUAAUCCUGAAGUUGAGUGAUCAUGUGAGAGUUCCAUUUUUCAUCUGAAGAUAAACUCUUUAACCUUUAAAGAAGAAUGUUCAAAAAUCUGAAUUCAUAGAGAGAGAACUCACCUUUUCUUGUUCUUAUUUUUUUCCUGAUUUUUCACCGAUUCUAAUGAUUUUUGAAUAUUCUGUUUGAAUGACUUACAAUUGGAGUUAGCUCUGCUAAAACUCUUUGUUGCUUGAAGCAGACUGAAUUUUAAUUUGUAGAUUCAUUACAAAGAUCACAUUUAUUCACACAUUCUUAGCAUAGGCAUAAAUUGAAAAAGUGUACCCCAAAUUCUCAAGAAAUGUUAUAGCUGGUCUCUUUUUUUCUAUCCAAGCCACCAUAUGAUUUUGAAAUUCGA